rnacentral:lncRNA from 1 species
GUUGACAGCAAAAAGAUUUUCUCGAUGCAUAAUGUGUAGGUGCUGGAGGAAGAGAGGCGUUUCGGUUUCGCAGGAAGUCUGCAUCAUUCGCAUAUGAGAAAUCCAGCAGUGUUGGACCCAGGAGCCCUCCUCCUCCUUACGACCUGUGAGAUAUGAUGAGGCUUGGCAUUUUCCAUGUUGAGCGGCGGCUAAAGUAGUCGGAUUUUCGUCUUCUUCUCAGCUUUGUCAUGGGGAAAUCUUUUAGAUGAAUAGCACUGAGUGUGAAAAAGUUUGGUGGCGUGCAAUCAAAAAAUUAAUCUUGUAAAUAUGGGUUAUGGUAGUGUCUGCUGUCUCGGUCGCGGUGUAUGGAGGGCUGGUCAUGCAGACUUUUGUAAAAGCUCAGUUUGAAGUUUGUAAUGUGUCCUGGUCUCUGUAUGCAGAGCUCAGAGUGGUUUGGUUUCUCCCAAAACUGCUAAGUUUCUUC